AAGGAUUCCCUACUGCCGAAUGCAGCAUGGAGGUACCUGCAUGGAAAAGGGGGCUAAGAUUCCUGCAAAUAAAGAAGUAAAGCUUCGCUCCUGCAGUUCACUCUAUUGUGUUUCAUCUUUUGCUCUUGGAGCCACUUUGAACACUUUGGUUUUCCCCCAAUUGGGUCGGGUAAGUUAGUCUCUAAUGUUCUCUUGUUAUGGGAAAACCGAAGCGUGCUAAACUUGCCAACUUUCUGGAGUGUGAUGUCUUCGUUUAUGUUUCUUGUGCACAAACUGCUCUUUUGGAUAGCAAAAAGUUCUUAUCUCCUGUUAUUACCCCUUUUGAAGCCAUGAUAGCUUUCAGCAGGUAUUGCCAGAAAAUUCCCCUAUUUAUUAGUCUAAUUAUUAGUUAAUGGUUCUUAACUCCAUCUUAACAUAUUAUUUUUGUAGGUAAAACUAGAUUCUUGUUCAUCACCUCUAGAUAUUGUGCUCUACCUCUCAAACAUGUUCUCAAUCUUUCAGAAAAUACCCGAACACCAUUACACAGCUAUAGUGACUGUUGAUUAGGCAUCCAUGAAACAGUAAGCUUCAUGAGGAGCCAUUUUUGCAUCCUAUGUGUUAGCAGACACCAUACUAAAACUCCUAGAAAUGUGUCAGACAGGUGGCCAAAAGAAAAGAAGCAUGUAAGGGACACGUGUAUACUGGUGGAUAUAAACUCUAGUAUACUUAAAAAGUGAUGUUAUGAUCUUCAUUGCGCUUAUCUUUACAGUUUUGCAUGAGUUUAUAUAGUAACUUGUAUAAUUCAGUCCAAUUAAUGUAUUUGUUGCAAAUAGAAUGUACAUGUUUUUAAUUAUUGCAAUGUACUUGUCAUGUCUCUUUUCCCUUUUAUAUAGUCUGGUGAUAUCAUUUGAGGCUGAUUUUCUUAUGGAAUAGUUUUUUGUAAAUAGUUCAGCGGCUAUUCCAGCGUUGGCAGGCCUUUGCAUGGUUCUGCUCACUGCCUUGUCAAUCAAAUAUGAUUAGCAAGAUGACUGGAUUUAUUGGUGACUUCAACUUCAUCCCAUCUCAUACCUGAUGUCCUUUGGUCAGGGGUCUUGUUCCUCUUAUUGUGACGAGUUUAGUUGGCACACCAUUCCCAAGCACCAGUCCUUUUUGGCCCGGCCUCCUCUUACUUUGCCAUCUGAGCCUCCUUUCCUGGUCUUGCCUAUCCUUGUAAGCCUACCUCUAAUUGCAGUUUUUCUCCCUACCACACGUUUAAUCGUUAACCCAAGGUUUUGACAUGUUCCUUACAACAUCUGCUUCAAGGUCUCCUCUCUAAGGUUUUUACAUUUAUUGUUUUUGACACUGUAUGCUUAGAAUAAGAAUCUGGGUAAGAGUAAUUAUUAAGAGGUGCUAGGACUUUUGUUUAUGUCCAAUUGUAACUUAUUUUAUUUUGAUUUCAUUUUGUAGGAUAAACAAGAAGUAUUCAUAGAAAAGGUGGUUCGAAAAAGGCGAAAAUGCAUCACCACUGUGAAAGGCCUGGACCUUUUUGCUAAGAAAUAUGCUCGAAUUAAUUGUUGUGUUUUCUAAAUUGUAGAGGAAGUCAAUGGACAGGAGCUUAUGUGAUGGAAUUUCAUAAUUUGCUGAUUUCAUUUCCAAUGGAAUUAAGAGACCAGUUGGAAGAAGCAUGAUUUUCAUUCCUUCAAGGUGGAUACGUAGAAGAUUUUGAACUGGAAGGUAACUUUGUUUGCUCUUUCGGCAUCAUUGUUUGAAGUAGUAAUGAGUUUUUUUGGAAAUAAUUAAGAGAAGCAAUGGGAGAGUCACUCAUGAUCUAUUCAGACUUGGCAAGAGAGCGAGAAACAAUUAAAAGAUUGGUAAAACUUAUUAUUUAGUUUAUAAUGUUUUUGAAUAAAAGAGUAAAUUUCUUCUAAAUUGUACCAAAAUAUGACAUAGUUUGAAGUUAUCUCAUGCAAAAUAGUUUAAGUUGCCAUCAGAUGCAUCUGAAUUAGCUAAGCUAAAUAAGUAGCGGACUAGAAUGUCUCCUCCCUCUUGGAAUUAUUCUAUUUUUCAUUUUAUUUUUGAAUAUUGAUUCUCCUCUUUUAGAUUUCUUUUCUUUCCUUCUUAUUUUCAAGA